UAUGUGAAUGCAUUUAUUCCAACUGAUUCUACAUCCUUCAUAAUGACAGGACAGGGAAGAGGAACCUAUAAACUUGGAAAUCAUAUGAACAGAAGAGGUUCUACACCUCAAAAUUUUGGUGCAUCUGGGAAUCAAAAGUUCAGAAAUUCACCUUAGAAAUUCAAGUCAAGGAAUACAAAGUUCAACUCAAUAAUAAGUUUCACAUAUUAUAGAAAAAUAGGGUAUGUCGACGAUGAUUGCUACAACUCAUAAGGUUCCCAAAUGAUUUUGAGUUUACAAAAACAAAGAGGUUCGAAGUUCAGUUAAAGGUAAUACAUUGAUGACAGAAGAAGAAUAUAAGGACACACAUGGGCAAAUAUGAAAAAAAAUAUUUAGCCAACAUUUAAGCAAGAAAUAAUAUGUUGAUCAGGUGCAGUAAGUAGAGAGAGAUCUGAAGAUAAAUCAUGCAAGAAACUCAGGAACAACAGUAAAUGCUAAUGUGCCUUAGGCUGACGCUCGCGGAGCUCUAUUGUCCCUACCUUUGCAUUCGUGGUCAGAGGCUUGUGUUCAUAAAGGAUUAUGUCGUUGCUUCUUUGCAUUUAUAGCCAGAGGCCUGUGUUCUGAAGGAUAAGGACUGAGUGUGAAGGAUAACUUGGGCAAUCUGAGCAAAACAAAGGUAAAAUUGAGCAGCGAUGAACCGUCGACCUUGCGACAAUCCGUUAGUCUAAAACAUCAACAAAAAGCAUAAGGCAUAGACUCUGGAUGUACUGCGACGGUCCAAGCGACGGACCGCUGGCCCUGUGAUCAACCGUCGGUGUAAACCGUAGCCAUAUUACAGAAGGCAUCAUCACUGGAAGUCCUGCGACGGUCCAGGCGAUGGACCGUCGACCUUGCGAUGGGCGUCACACUACCCGUCUCCCAGAAGAAGAACAUGGAGUCACUGGACACCCAGCGAUGGUUCAGCGAUGGAAAGUCGAACUUGCGAUGGAUCGUCACUUGACCCGUCCACCAAAAUGCGGAGAGUUUGAGUUUAAAUUUUUAAAAAACCUAGUUUUGGAAUGAUAUAAAUACCAAGUAUUAGGAUUUAUUCCAUAUCUUUGUCUUCAGUUUCAUACUUUCUCCUCUAUUGAGAGCUUUGUACUACUUUUCAUUGAGAUUUGAACCUACAGAUUGAGACGUGAUUAUUAGGUUUCAUAUUUUCCAUCUAAGAUUGAGAAGAACAAUAUUGUGACUUUUGUAAGUACUCUUCUGAAGUUAUUUAUGCACAUCAAUAUAGCUUUGA